UACGGGAGGCAGCAGUGGGGAAUAUUGCACAAUGGGCGCAAGCCUGAUGCAGCCAUGCCGCGUGUAUGAAAAAGGCCUUCGGGUUGUAAAGUACUUUCAGUCGUGAGGAAGGUGUUAAGGUUAAUAACCUUAGCAAUUGACGUUAGCGACAGAAGAAGCACCGGCUAACUCCGUGCCAGCAGCCGCGGUAAUACGGAGGGUGCGAGCGUUAAUCGGAAUUACUGGGCGUAAAGGGCACGCAGGCGGUUAAUUAAGUUGGAUGUGAAAUCCCCGGGCUUAACCUGGGAAUGGCAUUCAAGACUGGUUAGCUAGAGUCUUGUAGAGGGGGUAGAAUUCCAUGUGUAGCGGUGAAAUGCGUAGAGAUGUGGAGGAAUACCGGUGGCGAAGGCGGCCCCUGGGACAAAGGACUGACGCUCAUGUGCGAAAGCGUGGGGAGCAAAC
rnacentral:rRNA from 1 species